rnacentral:rRNA from 1 species
CCUACGGGAGGCAGCAGUGAGGAAUAUUGGUCAAUGGGCUUACGCCUGAACCAGCCACGUCGCGUGCGGGAAGAAUGCCCUAUGGGUUGUAAACCUCUUUUGUCAGGGAGCAACGCCGGCUACGUGUAGCCGGACUGAGAGUACCUGAAGACAAAGCAUCGGCUAACUCCGUGCCAGCAGCCGCGGUAAUACGGAGGAUGCGAGCGUUAUCCGGAUUUAUUGGGUUUAAAGGGUGCGUAGGCGGAAUGCAAAGUCAUCGGUAAAAUCGCGGGGCACAAACUCGCUCCGCAGUUGAAACUGGCGUGCUUGAGUGGGCGAGAAGUAUGCGGAAUGCGUGGUGUAGCGGUGAAAUGCAUAGAUAUCACGCAGAACUCCGAUUGCGAAGGCAGCAUACCGGCGCCCAACUGACGCUGAGGCACGAAAGCGUGGGGAUCGAACGGGAUUAGAUACCCGGGUAGUC